rnacentral:rRNA from 1 species
UACGGGGGGUGCGAGCGUUAAUCGGAAUAACUGGGCGUAAAGGGCACGCAGGCGGACUUUUAAGUGAGGUGUGAAAUCCCCGGGCUUAACCUGGGAAUUGCAUUUCAUACUGGAGGUCUUGAGUACUGUAGGGAGGGGUAGAAUUUCACGUGUAGCGGUGAAAUGCGUAGAGAUGUGGAGGAAUACCGAAGGCGAAGGCAGCCCCUUGGGAAUGUACUGACGCUCAUGUACGAAAGCGUGGGGAGCAAACAGG